rnacentral:rRNA from 1 species
GUGGGGAAUAUUGCACAAUGGGCGGAAGCCUGAUGCAGCGACGCCGCGUGGGGGAUGACGGCCUUCGGGUUGUAAACUCCUUUCACCAUCGACGAAGGGUUUCUGACGGUAGAUGGAGAAGAAGCACCGGCUAACUACGUGCCAGCAGCCGCGGUAAUACGUAGGGUGCGAGCGUUGUCCGGAAUUACUGGGCGUAAAGAGCUCGUAGGUGGUUUGUCGCGUCGUCUGUGAAAUUCCGGGGCUUAACUCCGGGCGUGCAGGCGAUACGGGCAUAACUUGAGUACUGUAGGGGAGACUGGAAUUCCUGGUGUAGCGGUGAAAUGCGCAGAUAUCAGGAGGAACACCGGUGGCGAAGGCGGGUCUCUGGGCAGUAACUGACGCUGAGGAGCGAAAGCAUGGGGAGCGAACAGGAUUAGAUACCCUGGUAGUCC